GCGGAGUUGCGGGACGGCACGGGCACCUUCGAGGGGAACAAGUGCAUGAUCGACGAGGUCAUCGACGUGAUCACCGUCGUCAUCGAGGCCGCCGUCGUCGCCGGCCGGGUCCUGCACAAGCCCUAGCUACAUAGUACCACAACGGCGCGCGCGCCGAGCCGGCCGGCGAGCUGGGGGGACAAGCAACAACUUGCUCGGUAGGUGGGUGGUGCAUGCCUUUUCUGCUUGGUGUCACUCGUCAGUCACGGUGUGUGUCCGUGUCCUGUCACGCGCGCACCGGCGCCUCACGUACAGUCUCGCGGGCACGGGCUAAGAUCGACGACGGCGCCGGAUUUUGCGACAUGUAUAUGGGCAUGGUUACCAUCACCUGCUUUGCAGGAUUUUAUUUACUUGAUGAGUUGGUUCGUCUUUGCCUACACGCAUCAUGCCCAGCUCGUACGCUACGUGUUCAUGUCAUGCAUAAUUGGUAUACUUACUACACUGUUGUUACCACUGUUCAAAUUUCAGUGAAUUUUGCUGCUUAAAGCUACUUCGGAUUUUGGGGGUAAUCUAUAGAUCAGUACCGUAAUUUGUGUCGUCUGAAUUAUGUAUAGAACAAAAGCAACUUGUCCAUUAAUUGGAUUAUUAUAUGAUGUUGAUGUGAUGGCGACGCCUUUCAGAGUGUACGGCUGCCCCGGUUCGAUCUGCAUAUAACGUGAUUACUUUUGCACACAAUCGUUUUCUUUCUUUAGAGAAAGGACUCUUUGGCUAGGUUUCUCUUUCCUCCCGCUGGUGCCCUGGUGCCCUCGCCGGUCUACCUCGUCUUUGUCUUAGGCCAUGGAGGCGCGGUGGAUUCCGGCCUUUACUGACGGGAGGGUUUCGUUUUUCCAUGAUUUUUGAGUUUUGUUAGGAUUUGUGUCCUACUCAGAAAGGUGAAGCGGCGACGGCUUUCUGAAAUGGAAUAAGGUUCUAUAUAGCCCAAUUCCGGUGGUGUUUCUAGCACCGUCGGAGGGCGUGUGAAGUGUCUCCAACGGAUCUCGUGGGAUUCGGUCAGCAUUUGUCUUCAGUGGAUCCACGUGGAUCCGAUCUUUGUUCGUCUGUGUUUGUGUGCCUAUAAGUUGGAUCCUUCCGAUCUACACUUCUCUUCAUUGGCGUGGUUGUUGUUUUGAUGCAUUGGUCCUAUGGGACCUUAGCACGAUGACUUUCCUAUUAUCUACUACAAUAAGGUUUGCCUGGCUCCGAUGAGGAAGCGACAAAGACAGGGCGUGCCUUCGGCUCGCUCUAGUGCUUGUCGUCGUCGCUAGGUGGUCUACGAACCUGGAUGUAUUUUUUACUUCUGAAAUUCUUUGUACUACCUUGACAGUUGAUGAAUAGAUUGAAAGUUUUCUCGCAAAAAAAGUGAUUAGUUUUGCAGUAAUGCU
rnacentral:lncRNA from 1 species